rnacentral:rRNA from 1 species
CUUGGUAGUUAUAGCGCAGGUGCCACACACGACUCCAUUCCGAACUCGAACGUGAAACCCUGCAGCGCCGAUGGUACUACAUCAUAAGAUGUGGGAGAGUAGGUCAUUGCCAGGC